GUACGUGUCUUCCGGCCAGCUCUCUUCCGCUUCUGCUGUCUUGAUGACGCACAGUGCUGGCGCAAGUCGUCUUGCGCCAGGCGACUGGGUCUGAGGAGGCAGGAGUUAUUCAUUCCCUUAAGCUUUCAGGCCGGGGGGAGAAUCUUUCAGGUGGUAGCUGCAAGAACUCUUAGUAUGUUGACCUCACCUCUGCCUUCCACAUACCACUACCAGUGAGGAAUUAGGAAUGCAUGAGAAGAGUGUCCAAGAAGAGUGUCCUCAUUCAUGCAAGGCUUAAGAGAGAAUGCAGGUCAACAUCACCAUGUCAAUCAGAGGUGCAGAUGCUGAGAGCACUUUCUAGUCAAGUCCUGCAUGUUCAUUUCUGUCUCAAGUCAGCUUCUCUGAGAAUCCAAUUUAUAAAAAUAUAUUUGUGAAUGUAUAAGUAAAGUGACUUGGAUUUUGUCUACGUACAAGGACUUCUAUGCCUGCAUAAAACAGCUUUCAGAGUGACUAACCAUACCAGUUUGACCAAGACUGUAUUGGCUGCAGCACUUAAAAGCUCACAUCCCGGAAAUCCUUUGGUCCUCGGUGAAUUGGGAUGGUUGGUUACCCUAUUACUGAUGAUUGUAAUUCUCAGCGUAGUUUGGAACCAGCAGCAGCAGCAGCUCCCCAGACCUACUGAAUCAGAAUCUACAUUUUGAUAAGAGCCCAG
rnacentral:lncRNA from 1 species